CAGCCGCCGCGGGAAUACGAAGGGUGCAAGCGUUAAUCAGAAUUACUGGGCGUAAAGCGUGCGUAGGCGGUGAGUUAAGUCUGUUGUGAAAUCCCCGGGCUCAACCUGGGAAUGGCAAUGGAUACUGGCAAGCUAGAGUGUGUCAGAGGAUGGUGGAAUUCCCGGUGUAGCGGUGAAAUGCGUAGAGAUCGGGAGGAACAUCAGUGGCGAAGGCGGCCAUCUGGGACAACACUGACGCUGAGGCACGAAAGCGUGGGGAGCAAACAGGAUUAGAUACCCCUGUAGUCCCUGUCUCUUAUAC
rnacentral:rRNA from 1 species